GAUCAGGAACAGGCUAGCAGUGAAUGCAGACCAAUAGACAGAAGUCAGCAUCGCAGUGAGAGAUGAGGCUGUGCACUCCUGGAACUUGCUUCACUGGCAGAAGGGCUCCUGGGUGCUGGCCCAGUGUCUGGUCCUUUUCUUGGACUCUGGACUGCAGCGUGUGGAAAACAAGAGGUUCUGGAAGGAGAGCCCUACAAAUGGAUUAAGUGAGAAAUCACAAUCUGAAUUCUAGAAGACAAAGACAGAAUAAAAUGACUCAAUUUACAUAUCUUGGCAGUUAUAUCCUCAUGAAAACGUCAGAGGCUGGCUAAGGCAGGGCUGGAUUUGGCAGCUUGAGAUUUGUUUUUGGGAAAUCUGCACUUUAAAGUGAAUCACUGAGUCGUCAGUAUUCCAUGUUAAUAAGUGCAUUUGAAAGUUUCAGGACUUUUAAAAGAGCAGAAGGCGAUCUAAAAAUGUGAAUUGCUACAAUAAAUUUCUAAGAAACGCUGGGAUUCAGCAGCUGUCAGCAGCCCCUUAGGUUGGAAGAAAUGUUUAAGAGGAGAGGUUGGAAAACUGUUGAGAAAGAGUGUCUGCUUUUAAAGUCUUAAGUAAUUGAGUAAUUGCCAAAUAAUGCAGAGAGACCAAGGAACCUUGAAUGCAUCCGGAGGUACUAAUCAGAAAGUGGAAGGAAUAUUCUCUGGGACACUAGAAAAAAGUCUCAAUAUGGAGAAACUUGAUGAAUGCUUCUUUAUGAACAGUGAAAUCUAAUGCACUGAAUUUUAAAGUUGGCAAACACACAGUUAUCUACAUUUACAGAGAUUCUUGGUGUGUCUUUUAAAACGUAUGCACAAUGAGAACUAAAUUCUACUCCAGGCAUCUCUGAUAUCCUGGGAACUGAAGAUUAAAUGUAAUAUGAUGAGCAAAGAACUCCCAAACAAGUGCAAGACGUCUGGGAAAUAGAGCCAGCUGUGAAGGCUGGACUGGGUGUUACUCCUCAGAUCUGCCACCAAACCUGGACCAAGAAGGGAAUUUUUCCAACACUCUGAAAGACUGAGUCAUCAAGGAUCUUUGAGAAUUCCCCGUAGCAGAGGCACUUGAAUUAGAAGAGUUGUGACCCCAUGUGCUGUGUGGGAGAUGGCUGCCUUUUCUUUUGUGCGUCACAAUUGCUCUACAAAUUGAAUUCUGAGAAUCCUGAGAAGAACUAUUAUAAAUAUUCAUGGCCAGGAUCUUGCUGAGAGGAAGCUCUGCAGAGGAUGGGGCUCUUCUCUUGUUGCUGUUUGCUGGACAGUGAGUUUCCCCAAAGAAGGAGAUAAAAAUUGGUGCCCCUCAGAGAAGGCCACAAAACCUCACUGCAAUGCUCACCUGAGAACAGACUCACCUGAAAACAAGCUCACCUGAGAGGAGAAGAGAAUCCAAUAUUGCAAACUACCACCACCUGCCUGUUAUCUGCAAGGAGAAUUGGAUAUUGUCAGGAGGAGAACUGAUGGCUGAGGGAGUUCAGUUCCAUUUCCUUCCCCCUUGUGGUGCUGGGAUAGCUCACUGAGCUCUUUUUGCUUUUGCCUUACGAAGCCAAAUGGUCUGACACUGAAAAAUGACCAAAACUUGGUCUCUGCUUAGGCCCCCAAAUGUAAAUAAUAGCACUGAGGAGCUCUGAGGAUUUGGGAAGAAACUUGGCUUGGCUGCAAGGACAAUGGAGGCAACAGAAGAAGCAGCACAUAAUGGGUUCUGAUAAAGAUGGAGAUCUUUCUUUAUCUGAUAAAGAUGGAACAGCACCUAUGGCAAAGGCAGCAGGGAGAGCUGCUGCAGUUGUGCUCUGCCUUUGGACUGGAGGGAAAACUCCUGCAUUCACUGAACAUCCAGGCACUCAAAGUGUGCUGAGCCUGGUGCGGACAGAGUGCAAAGCCCUAGAUAAGAUAACAAUAAACAAGAAGCUGAAGACUGAAGAGAUCCAGUGGGUCUCUCUUUCCUGACACAGAACCACUCCAGGAGGGUCUCCCCAAACAGGGGAGCCCCUUGGGAGGGCCCAGCCUGGGAUCCAGAAGUCGAGGGAUCGGCAACAGGGGAAGCAUAACCUCUGUUGUCUCUGUCAGCCAACUCUCCAGCAGGAAGAGGGAAGAACAUUUCCGGAGGCUCUGGAGCAGAUUCAUUGCUUCUGGAGCAUUUUCUUCUCCCCAGACAUCAUUCCAGGCAAGCACUUUUCCCUCUCCAAGCCCCUCUCAUUACCCAGGACUCCCUUUCAAUACUAGAUUCAUAUUAGUCAGUGUUUGUGCAACUUUCCAAGUGUUACAGGAGAAGGGGCAAUUCUUUGCCAGCCAUAAAUCUGGGAUGUGGACACACAUGAUGGUAAUAGCCCAUCACAUGAGCUAAUUAGUAGGUGAUUACUUUAACCUGGAGGGAAAACAUACUACAAAAACCUUAUUGUAUUCCACUUGUUCUCACCAUGCACUAAACCUGACCUGAGUUACUUCCAUUUUUUUUUUUCCCUUCUUGUUAGGAGGGUUUUAUCCUGGGGUUGCUAAGUCUGCUUUAUUGUUUUUCCAUAUCUUAUUUCAAAAUGUGACCUGACACAGGAUUGAGUUCAUCAGUUAAAAACCAGGCUUCUCUCCAAUCAUAAAUACAUAAGUUCCCUAAAUGAGGUUUAUUCUGAUCUCUCUUGUAGGAGAAUUGUUUAUGCAAGCUCCUCUAGCCUUGAUACUGAAUUCAGAUUGCC